GACGAACGCUGGCGGCGUGCUUAACACAUGCAAGUCGAACGGUGAAGCGCCUUCCUUUUUGGUGGGUGUGGAUGAGUGGCGAACGGGUGAGUAACACGUGAGUAACCUGCCCCCUUCUUCUGGAUAACCGCAUGAAAGUGUGGCUAAUACGGGAUAUUCUGGGUCUGUCGCAUGAUGGGUCUGGGAAAGAUAUUGUUUCGGUGGGGGAUGGGCUCGCGGCCUAUCAGCUUGUUGGUGGGGUGAUGGCCUACCAAGGCGGUGACGGGUAGCCGGCCUGAGAGGGUGGAGGGCCGAAGGGGGAGAGGUACCAGACCGGGACGGAGAGGGGGGCCAGGGGGGGGGAUUAGGGAACAGGGGGGACAGUCGUGGUGCGGGGUGGCGGGGGGGGGAGUGGCGCCGUUGGUGGGGUGACCGUCUUCGGCAGGGGAAGCGGGCGUGCCUGUUUUGGGGGGGGGUUGAGGGUAGUGGGAAAAGGGGCGCCGGCUAGCUACGUG
rnacentral:rRNA from 1 species